CGUAGGGGGCAAGCGUUGUCCGGAAUCAUUGGGCGUAAAGAGCGUGUAGGCGGCUCGAUAAGUCCGCUGUGAAAGUCCAGGGCUCAACCCUGGAAGGCCGGUGGAAACUGUCGGGCUAGAGUCCGGAAGAGGCGAGUGGAAUUCCCGGUGUAGCGGUGAAAUGCGCAGAUAUCGGGAGGAACACCAAUGGCGAAGGCAGCUCGCUGGGACGGUACUGACGCUGAGACGCGAAAGCGUGGGGAGCAAACAGG
rnacentral:rRNA from 1 species